rnacentral:rRNA from 1 species
UACGUAGGGGGCAAGCGUUAUCCGGAUUUACUGGGUGUAAAGGGAGCGUAGACGGCUAAUCAAGUCAGAAGUGAAAACCCAGGGCUCAACCUUGGGACUGCUUUUGAAACUGAGUAGCUAGAGUGCAGGAGAGGUAAGCGGAAUUCCUAGUGUAGCGGUGAAAUGCUUAGAUAUCACGAAGAACCCCGAUUGCGAAGGCAGCCUGCCGCAGCGUUACUGACGCUGAAGCUCGAAAGCGCGGGUAUCGAACAGG